CCUACGGGGGGCUGCAGUGAGGAAUAUUGGUCAAUGGACGCAAGUCUGAACCAGCCAUGCCGCGUGCAGGAAGACGGCUCUAUGAGUUGUAAACUGCUUUUGUACGAGGGUAAACGCAGAUACGCGUAUCUGUCUGAAAGUAUCGUACGAAUAAGGAUCGGCUAACUCCGUGCCAGCAGCCGCGGUAAUACGGAGGAUUCAAGCGUUAUCCGGAUUUAUUGGGUUUAAAGGGUGCGUAGGCGGUCGGAUAAGUUAGAGGUGAAAUCCCGAGGCUCAACUUCGGAAUUGCCUCUGAUACUGUUCGUCUAGAGUGUAGUUGCGGUAGGCGGAAUGUAUGGUGUAGCGGUGAAAUGCUUAGAGAUCAUACAGAACACCGAUUGCGAAGGCAGCUUACCAAGCUACUUCUGACGUUGAGGCACGAAAGCGUGGGGAGCAAACAGGAUUAGAUACCCGGGUAGUC
rnacentral:rRNA from 1 species